rnacentral:rRNA from 1 species
GACGAACGCUGGCGGCGUGCUUAACACAUGCAAGUCGAACGGAUUGCUUGGUGCUUGCACUGAGUGGUUAGUGGCGAACGGGUGAGUAACACGUGAGUAACCUGCCCCCUUCUUUGGGAUAAGCACCUGAAAGGGUGUCUAAUACUGAUUAUUCUGCUGGAAUCGCAUGGUUUUGGUUGGAAAGGUUUUUCUGGUGGGGGAUGGGCUCGCGGCUUAUCAGCUGGUUGGUGGGGUAAUGGCUUACCAAGGCUUUGACGGGUAACCGGCCUGAGAGGGUGACCGGUCACAUUGGGACUGAGGUACGGCCCAGACUCCUACGGGAGGCAGCAGUGGGGAAUAUUGCACAAUGGACGAAAGUCUGAUGCAGCGACGCCGCGUGAGGGAUGAAGGCCUUCGGGUUGUAAACCUUUUUCGCUUUUGACCAAGGCAGCAUUUUGGUGUUGUUGAGGGUAUGAGGUAAAGAAGCUCCGGCUAACUACGUGCCAGCCGCCGCCGUAAGAC